CCAUAUGUAACUACUAAAAAAGGGACAUGUCCAACAGACUCAGGUAUAUAGCAAAAACUUGUAAACUGACUCUGCAAGCAGAUCACGUGAAAUACCAACAGUACUAAAGGCCCGUUUCCAUUGUACAGAAAUCCAGUCCAUACGGGCAGAUUGUUACAGAUUUAUGAGUUUUGCUAUAUAUAUGAAAAUAGAAAGACAUGUCCAACGGACUUUGCUACUUUCCAUUUUUUUGUAAACUGACACUGCUGGAUACAAGUUAAGAAUUCAAGAUGCUAAGAUGUCCUGUUCAUCUGACUGCAGGCAGAUGAAGGCCGUCAAAGAUCACAAGCGCAGCUUGCUAUUGUACAGGUUUAGAAUUUAGAAAGGUGACCUAUUUUUUCAUGUGAACUUACCUAUUCUUUGCUAUUCAGAAUGAUUAUUUAUCUUCCCAUUGCUGUGUUAAUUGAUUCAUAUGCGGUUCUGCUAUUCUGACAAGGAUAUCCAUCAAGGUUAUUUGGAGGGACAUAAUGAAACGUCACAAGUUCUACUUUGCUGAUUCUUUCAGAGAAUUGUUUCAUUACUAAUGCGCUGUCGCGGACAUGUAUUAAUCCCAAAUUCCAAAUCACUCUGGAAUCCAGUCAAAAUCCAGUCAAAAUCACUCCGGAAUCCUUCUCCGUAAUUGAUUCGCAAACUACUCUCAAGGACUGCUCUGAACCUCAAAUAUCGUGGGCACAUGAAGUUGUGGUGUAAUUUUUACAGAAACAAGUGAUCCAGGCAGCAAGGUAUUGAUUGAUGCAACUAUGUUGUAAUGUUUCAGUGACUGUUAAUAUUUUUUUAGGAAGAAUAACCAAUUCAGAUGAUACCCAAGGAGUUCUGGAUGGGAGAUUGUUUAUUUCUACGUCGUGCAAUUCAACAUUUCAGUACUAAAAGUAUUUUUCAUGUUAUCCAAGUAUUUUUCAU
rnacentral:lncRNA from 1 species